GUACUAGUCCUGGUAGCAUCCAUACUAAAAUUGAAACAAUACAGAGAUUAGCAUGGGCCCAACACAAGGCUGACACACAGAUCUGUGAGGCAUUCCAUAUUAAA